UCUCUCUAGUUUGUCUUCAAAAUACAUCAGUCUUUCGCCUUUUACUGAAGAUUUCCGUGGGGAGAAACAGCAAGAUUAUAUUUACAAUUUUUUAAUAACCUCUGAAGCAGGGCUU